AGAGACUCGGUGAAAUUAUAGUACCUGUGAAGAUGCAGGUUACCCGCGACAGGACGGAAAGACCCCGUGGAGCUUUACUGUAGCCUGAUAUUGAAUUUUGGUACAGUUUGUACAGGAUAGGCGGGAGCCUUUGAAACCGGAGCGCUAGCUUCGGUGGAGGCGCUGGUGGGAUACCGCCCUGACUGUAUUGAAAUUCUAACCUACGGGUCUUAUCGACCCGGGAGACAGUGUCAGGUGGGCAGUUUGACUGGGGCGGUCGCCUCCUAAAGUGUAACGGAGGCGCCCAAAGGUUCCCUCAGAAUGGUUGGAAAUCAUUCGUAGAGUGCAAAGGCAUAAGGGAGCUUGACUGCGAGACCUACAAGUCGAGCAGGGACGAAAGUCGGGCUUAGUGAUCCGGUGGUUCCGCAUGGAAGGGCCAUCGCUCAACGGAUAAAAGCUACCC
rnacentral:rRNA from 1 species